CAGUAACUGGGUGUAGCUCUUUGAGUAUGUGUGCAGCCUUCACAGUGUUUGUAUGACUUUAGGGGGGGGGGCACAUCACCUCUGCAUCAUAAUAUGAAAGCACAAAACUAGAUAAAAGCUCUUCAUUAAAGGCACAGUUCACUUCCUUGGACACUCUCUGAUCACAAAAGCACAAAACUGCGUGAACAAUGCUACUGGCAACUCCACGUACUACUAUUAGCUCCUUUUCAUGGUGUGGUCCCUAUGUGUGCGCGGCGGGCGGAGAGGCUCGCGGACAAACAGAGUGUGACAGGUCCGCUCAGCCGAGCCGGGAUAGAGGGUCACGCCUACAGCAGCGCUCGAGACAAGGUCAGCCGCGAUGAGACUGACGAGCAGCACUGGUGGAGAUUACACAUGAUAAGCCUCCGCUCGCCCAGUGGCCUCUUCGCUCGCUCUCAUUUUCCCCUCCCUUCCCCUUCACAGCCAGCCUUCUCAUAUCUCUCUGCCACAAUGUCAAGUGUUUACCGUUUUAGUUUGCUUCACUGAAAGCCAUUUGGUAUGUUCAAACAUUUCUGCCUCCCUGGAGCGCUGCUUGCGCAGGGACAUAUUUUCUUUAAUGAGGGCAAGCAGGCAAUGCAAGAGACAUCUUUCACUGCCUGCUUUUAUUCAUACACACCUAGAGACACACACAAACACACGGCAAGCGACUUCUUGAUUUAGACACCUUACACUGUACUGUUAUGAGCACAGACAGUUAGUGAACCUGCCACAUUUCCCUCCCACGCAAAAGUCGCUGAGCUGUUUCUGUCAGCAGCGAGUGGGAGAACGUGGCACCGCAGCGUGUUUGCUAACAGUUAGGAAACCCAGCAAAAUGCACACACACACACACUACACAAACACAACCUUAUCAGUGUUUACACAUAUUGUCUGCUGAAGCUCGUGUAUGCACAGCGUGCAUGCUGCAAUAAAACUUACA